GUGACAAACCAUUAAAUUUUAUUAUAUGACAAAAACGCAUGCUAUGGUUUCGAGUUUACGGGAUUACGGGCUUCGACCCAGAAUCUCCUGGUAUUCAAAAAAAAA
rnacentral:sRNA from 1 species